GGAGGGAUGGCCGAGUGGUUUAAGGCGGCGGUCUUGAAAACCGCUGUGCGAAAGCACCGUGGGUUCGAAUCCUACUCCCUCCGCCA
rnacentral:tRNA from 1 species